CACGUAGGGGGCAAGCGUUGUCCGGAUUUAUUGGGCGUAAAGAGCUCGUAGGCGGUUCCGUAAGUCGGGUGUGAAACCUCCAGGCUCAACCUGGAGACGCCACCCGAUACUGCGGUGACUGGAGUCCGGUAGGGGAGCGUGGAAUUCCUGGUGUAGCGGUGGAAUGCGCAGAUAUCAGGAGGAACACCAGCGGCGAAGGCGGCGCUCUGGGCCGGUACUGACACUGAGACGCGAAAGCGUGGGGAGCAAACAGG
rnacentral:rRNA from 1 species